rnacentral:piRNA from 1 species
UGCUCAGCCUCUGCUUGUAGCUUCUGCUCCA